UGCGCUAUCCUGAAUGGAGAACAGGAUGUUGUUGCGACCAACAUCGUGCAUUUACGUCUAAAUGCCCCAGGAAGGGUCGCAACUUCCUGGGGCAU
rnacentral:tRNA from 1 species